rnacentral:lncRNA from 10 species
AGUCUAGUCUGUGACCUGAGCCAUCAUGGUAGGGUGUCCAGGGUGAGGGGAGGGUGGUGUGAAUCCCCAGUAAUGCAGGUCCUUUCCAGGCCAGGCCCCUGGUCCCCAGGAGUGCGGGGAUGCCUGAGGUCUACUGCUGCCUUAUCCAGAGCUGCCAUCCCCGGCGAUGACUCAGAGUUCCUGUGGCCCCAGCAUCAUCCCUCCAUCCCUGGCUGUGAGGCAGGAGCAGAGUUGCAGACCUGAGAGGCCUUGAAUUUGUUUGAUAUAGGACUUUGCCACCAGACAAAGUGCUUUGCCUGUGAGGUCUGGCUUGGCCUGGCCUCUGAGAAAGAACAAACACAGACCUCACUGGAAGGAACCUGGAGAACGGGAGAGGAGAGGCUGCUGCUGUCUGCCCUCCCAGCAGCAGAUAUAAAGACAAUGGGCUUCUAAGUCCCCUAGAGUCCCAGCUGUGUAAUUUAAGGCGAGUUCAUCUCUCACAGCCUCAGUUUCCUCAUUUGCUGGCACCUGUCUUUCUCCUUCAUAGCCAUUGUCACUGUUGCAAUGAUAUCAACAAUGCUUACAUUUCAGAUAGAUCCCCAGCUGGGUUGAAAGGAACGUCAAGACCCUUCCUUUCUUAUGACCUAUGUAUCAACUCCCUUCUACCUUGCCUCCCUCCACUUGGAGCGAGUUCUAGUUGGUGAAAUGUAGCCAGAGGUUCCUGGAAAGGCUUUCCUUCUCAAGUAAAGCCUGGCUCAGAGAAAACCACUGGUCUCUUUCCUUUUCUUCCUCCUGACAUGAACAUGGGGCAGGAAGGAGCAUGGAGAAGACAAGAACAAGGCUCUCAGAAGGAAAUGGUGUGGCUGGAGCCAUGAGAACUGGUUGUGGAGGGGGGCAAAUAUAAUUUCUGACCUACGUAAUGAUGUAUGCACAAGAAGCCUCUCUUGAAUGUAUUAAUUCAGUAAACAGUUAUGGAGUCCUUACAAUGUGCUAGUGGGACUUUGAAGAUGAAUCCAAAUUUGGAUCCUGGCCUGGAAAGGCUCAAAGCCCAAUAUGGGAGGUGAUUCUGAGCAGAAACAAAGGGGAACGUAUGUCUUCAUUGUGACUCAGCGAGCAAAGAGAUGGAGUCUUUUCCAAGAAGAAAGUGGGAGAUUUGGGACCACUGACAUAUUUGGCCCACUGAUUCCAUUCCCCUAGACCAACACGUGUUCAUCAAAUUGCAUCACUCUUAUGGGGAACUUAAUGCAACUCCGGUGCCCAUUGCAUUAGUUUUUGAUGAUGGAAUUCUCUUUGUGAACUUGAACUUGAGGGGUCUGGCUACCCCUCUGAGACUUCUUUUUUGAGAUAAAAUCAUAUAACAUA